GGAGUUAGCCGGUGCUUCUUCUGUGAGUGAUGUCCUUCCUGCCGGCUAUUAACCCGCAGGCCUUCUUCCUCACUGAAAGUGCUUUACAACCCGAAGGCCUUCUUCACACACGCGGCAUGGCUGGAUCAGGGUUGCCCCCAUUGUCCAAUAUUCCCCACUGCUGCCUCCCGUAGGAGUCUGGGCCGUGUCUCAGUCCCAGUGUGGCUGAUCAUCCUCUCAGACCAGCUACGGAUCGUCGCCUUGGUGAGCCGUUACCUCACCAACCAGCUAAUCCGACAUAGGCUCAUCCGAUAGCGCGAGGCCCGAAGGUCCCCCGCUUUCCCCCGUAGGGCGUAUGCGGUAUUAGCCUGGGUUUCCCCAGGUUAUCCCCCACUACCGGGCAGAUUCCUAUGCAUUACUCACCCGUCCGCCGCUCGCCACCAGGGAGCAAGCUCCCCGUGCUGCCGCUCGACUUGCAUGUGUUAGCCUCGCCGCCAGCGUUCAAUCUGAGCGAGGAUACAACUACUGA
rnacentral:rRNA from 1 species